rnacentral:rRNA from 1 species
GACGAACGCUGGCGGCGUGCUUAACACAUGCAAGUCGAACGAGUGGCGAACGGGUGAGUAAUGUCUGGGAAACUGCCUGAUGGAGGGGGAUAACUACUGGAAACGGUAGCUAAUACCGCAUACCAUCAGAUGUGCCCAGAUGGGAUUAGCUAGUAGGUGGGGUAAUGGCUCACCUAGGCGACGAUCCCUAGCUGGUCUGAGAGGAUGACCAGCAACACUGGAACUGAAACACGGUGCAGACUCCUACGGGAGGCAGCAUUGGGGAAUAUUGCACAAUGGGCAGAAGCCUGAUGCAGCAAUGCCGCGUGUGUGAAGAAGGCCUUCGGGUUGUAAAGCACUUUCAGCGAGGAGGCGUUACUCGCAGAAGAAGCACCGGCUAACUCCGUGCCAGCAGCCGCGGUAAUAC